AUCUCUCUCUCUCUAUACAUCGCUCUCUAGCUUGCCUCUCCCCUCUCUCUCGACCCUACUGCUUUGACGAUUACUAUUCCGGUGGUCCACAGAGGUGUUUUUCUCUUUUCUGUGGAGUUCCUUAGCACGAUCUCAUCCAUUGUUUUGUUGAUCAGAGCUGCAAAGGGAUCUUUUCAACGUUGAAGGCACUUCUCUAUUCUGUUGUGCUUGUUUUACUUGUGGGGGUGAUAGUUUGAUUUGUGUUGUAGUUUAGGACUGGUUUUGUGUGUGUUUGUCGCAAGUUCGGUUGUAUAUUAUGUGAUUUUGAGUUUCCCAGUUGGUUUGGGGCUGAGCCUAUAAAAACCAAAUCUAGUUCAAUAUUUUAACUUGAUUUCGUAAUAAAAUCUUUGAUUCGUUCACAGUUUUUAAUAAUAGAGAGAAAUGAUGCAAAGCAAAUAGUGAAUUAACUUUUUAUGUAACCUUUUUAUGUAAUUAGAUCCUGUGGUGAAUACACAAUCAUUUACAAGUGUUGGAAAAACAUUGAAUAUUUAAAAAAAAUCAUUGGAAAUUUCUAAGAAGUUGGGAGUACAACUCUAAGAGAAACUUGAUGGAUGUAUUAGAAUGGGUUAUUUUAGGAAAAAUAUCAAGAAGAGAGGUUUAGACUCAAUAUAGAUGAAGUUUAAAAAAUAAUCUUGGUGACGCUGGGAAAGUUGGAAUCCUACGCAACUCUUUUGGGGAUCCCAUUUUUGCAGUCCAAGAGUACACAAUAUGCUUUUAAUAUUUCUGUAGAAUUCCAUUCAAUUCUUACAAGAGUUGAGAUUGCUCUCGAUAAGGGUUUCUAAAUUAUGUGGAUGGAAAUUGAUUAUGUAGCGUAUAGACAAACUGUCUUUUCCUCUCAUCACAUUGGACAUUACAAGAGCUCAUCGCUAAAAUCCACAUCAAAGUAGAACAAAUUCAAUGGGAAAGUUUAUAUUAUGCAAGAAUGGAGUACUUGGUCGAUUUCCUUGCUAAUUAAACCUGUCUUUUGUACUUAUCUCAAAUUUUUGAGCCCAAAUUUGUAAUGAUAAGUUGGGGAUGCCAAGCUUCGGGUAUUAAUUUGAGAUGGUGAGUAUUUCUAUGAGUGGUUACAUUUACUUUGGGUUGGUAGUAGAAUUGGAGUCUUCAAAUCGUUUUGAUCUCCAUAAUUUGUCUUCAAGUUUGUCAUGUGGUAGAUUAUGGAGUCCUGAUCUCAGUCUGGAUUUUGCUUUCUGCAUAGAUUGAGUAUUUCAUCUAGGCGAGACACUUCUAAAUUAUUCGGAUUUUGUUUGGAUUUUCUUUCCUUUUGGCAUUAGCUUUUUAUUGGGUUUUGGAUGUUGGGCUCCUUGGAAAGUUUUUGUUUUCUUUUAUUUGGUCUCUUGGUGUGUUCGGACCUUUUGGUUUGUUUUCGAGUCUGUUUGUUGUUGGGCUAUAUUUGGGAGCCUGAAGUUGGUCUUCAGUUGGGUUGAUGAGGUUUGGGUUGCUUAUAUUUUGGGUAGGCUGGGACACAGUGAAUUUGGAUUGUUGGCCAGUGCCUUGGUUUGGACCAUUGUUGUAUUUUUGGUUUGGGCCUCAAAGAGGCUUCGUGCAGUACUAGGCAAGUGUCAAGCAACAUUUGGAUUGGAUCUUCAUCUCCUGGGUCGAGCAUCAACCUCUCACCAUGAGUCGCAGUGGUUUCAAGGCUUCUCAUUAGUUUGGGCUGCAAGCAAUUGAAGUUGGGCUUAGUGGUGGUUGUGGCGGGAUUUAGAUUAGGGAUUCGAGCAGCAUUCCAACAUUCUCCGGCGAUUGACAUAUUCUUCGACCACAAAUUUGGCGUCAGCCGUGGAGGUGAAUUUGAGGGUUUCAAUAUGAAGGACGAAGGACGUAGUGUAGAAUCAAUCGAGGAGACAUGACAAAAUAUUUAAUCAGAAGGGGGGCUGAUGCAACUACGAAAGCAUAUGUGAGAUUGUUGCCCAUUUUAGAGUGGUGGGAAUCGAUAGAGGAUUUGGGAGCUACAAUGAGAGGAUGGGUACUGAUGAUGGUCAGUUUUCAAGUGACAAUGGUGAAAUGCUAGUAAGUGGCGGGGAUGAUGUUGAUGAGAGUGACAGUUUAAGUAAACAAAGGCAUGACAAUGAUUGUGAAGUUCCAUCGUAGGUGUAUGACGAUUUCGACGGUCUUUCUGAUGAUGAUAUUUUUUUCUAAGAAGCCAGAAAAUGAUCGAGGUAAAAUAAAAAAGUUGUUGAAGGAGUUAAGGACAUUAAGAAAGGAAACAAAAAAAAAAAGAACUAUAGAGUGUUGUCAAAGAUAACUGUGCAGGAGAUAAGGUAAGUGAAAAGAAGAAUGAGCAGUGUUCCAUUUGGUAUAGUGGUGAUGCCUCAAAAGGAGAGGCUGAUUUGGAAACUCCAUUGUCGUCCGAUGAAGAAGAAAUAUGGCUGCCACAAAUCUGAAGGUUGGCAUUAAAUUUCUAUCACGAAAAAAUUUAAUUUAAGGAAGCAUUUAAGGAUUAGAGAGUUCAAAAAGGAUAGGACUUGAAGUACCCAAAGAUGGAGAAGCACAUAGUGAGUGCAACGUGUAAGAAAGGAUGUGAAUGGUUUAUUCGAGCAUCACAAUCAUGAAGGGGGCCACUUUUAAAAUCAAAUCACUUAAAGCAAGCAACAAAUAUGCCCAUAUGACAACAAAAUCACAAGCAUAUUUCUAGUAAGAAGAUUAAGAAUUAUGUGAAGACAAUCUUGGAGAGUCUCUUGAAUCUUUACGACAGAAGAUCUAGAGAGAUGUUGACGUGGAUGUAGGCAUUCACAAAGUGUAACAAGCAAAGCAACAUGCUAUAGAACUUUUGAAAGGGGAUAUCAAAGAGCAAUACCAUGGACUAUAUGACUAUUGCGCGACUGUUCGCAAACACAAUUAAAAAAGUUCUUGCAUUUUGAA